rnacentral:sRNA from 1 species
CAAUUCCAGUAUAACUCUAUGUAUAUUAACAUAGAUCAUCUUUUUGAAGGAACAACACUAUAUAUAUCUUUAUACAAAAACAACACUAUAUCUAAGGAUGUCAAAAUGGAUAACCCAACUCAACUUAACUCAUAAUCAAAUGAGUUUAGGGUUAAAUGAGUUAUGGGUUGACCCAACUCAUUUUGUUAAAUGGGUUGGGUCAACCCAUAACUUAUUUAAUUUGAUGAGUUGAGUUGUUAAAUGGGUUAACCUAUUUAAAU